GUGAAUCAUCGAAUCUUUGAACGCAUAUUGCACCUUAGAGUAUUCUUUAAGGUAUACCUGUUCGAGCGUCGUUUACAACAAAUAAAGCCUUGCUUUUCGAUGAAUUUUGAUUUGCACCUCGCAAUUCAAUCUUCUAAACAUAGUGGUGUUUUGGUUUUAGAUUGCCAAAGUUGAAAUACAGUGAAAAUGUAUGAAUUCUUUGACGCAGGAUAAAAUCAAAGUUCGCCUUACAACCCCCAAUUUUUUUUGUUCGACCUCGAAUCAAGUAAGACUACCCGCUGAACUUAAGCAUAUCAAUAA
rnacentral:misc_RNA from 1 species